UACGUAGGGUGCGAGCGUUAAUCGGAAUUACUGGGCGUAAAGCGUGCGCAGGCGGUUCGUUAAGUCAGAUGUGAAAGCCCUGGGCUCAACCUCGAGCCUGCAUUCGAUACUGGGCGGCUAGAGUCUGGUAGGGGGAUCUGGAAUUCCUGGUGUAGCGGUGGAAUGCGCAGAUAUCAGGAGGAACACCGGUGGCGAAGGCGGGAUCCUGGGCCAGUACUGACGCUGAGGAGCGAAAGCGUGGGGAGCAAACAGGAUUAAGAAACCC
rnacentral:rRNA from 1 species